rnacentral:rRNA from 1 species
AUUGAACGCUGGCGGAAUGCCUUACACAUGCAAGUCGAACGGCAGCACGGGUGCUUGCACCUGGUGGCGAGUGGCGAACGGGUGAGUAACAUAUCGGAACGUAUCCAAUAAUGGGGGAUAACUAAUCGAAAGGUUGGCCAAUACCGCAUACGCCCUACGGGGGAAAGCUAGGGACCUUCGGGCCUGGCGUUAAUGGAGCGGCCGAUAUCUGAUUAGCUAGUUGGUGGGGUAAGAGCCCACCAAGGCGACGAUCAGUAGCUGGUCUGAGAGGACGACCAGCCACACUGGAACUGAGACACGGUCCAGACUCCUACGGGAGGCAGCAGUGGGGAAUUUUGGACAAUGGGCGCAAGCCUGAUCCAGCCAUUCCGCGUGAGUGAAGAAGGCCUUCGGGUUGUAAAGCUCUUUCGCAAGGGAAGAAAACUUAGCCUCUAACAUAGGCUGAGGUUGACGGUACCUUGAUAAGAAGCACCGGCUAACUACGUGCCAGCCGCCGCCGUAACAC